rnacentral:rRNA from 1 species
GUGUCAGCCGCCGCGGUAAUACGUAGGUGGCAAGCGUUGUCCGGAUUUACUGGGCGCAAAGCGAACGCAGGCGGACCUUUAAGUAGGAAGUGAAAGGUUGGAGCUCAACUCUAACACUGCUCCCUAUACUGGAGGUCUUGAGUGCCGGAGAGGAAGACGGAACAAGUUGUGUAGCGGUGAAAUGCGUUGAUAUAACUUGGAACACCAAUGGCGAAAGCAGUCUUCUGGACGGAUACUGACGCUCAGGUUCGAAAGCCAAGGUAGCAAACAGGAUUAGAUACCCUGGUAGUCUUGGCCUUAAACGAUGUUCACUAGGUGUUGGGGGGUAACCCUCGGUGCCGCAGCUAACGCAUUAAGUGAACCGCCUGGGGACUACGGCCGCAAGGUUGAAACUCAAAGGAAUUGACGG